rnacentral:rRNA from 1 species
CACUUUACAGCUAGCCUAAACCCCAUAACCCAACAAAUAAAUAUUAAUACCCCCUCCUGCCCUACAAAGAUUUAAAACAAAACAUUCUCCCGCCUUAGUAUAGGAGAUAGAAAAGGAUCUCAGAGCGACAGAUAAAGUACCGCAAGGGAACGCUGAAAGAGAAAUGAAAGACCACUAAGUACAAAAAAGCAGAGAUUAACCCUCGUACCUUUUGCAUCAUGAUUUAGCCAGUAACCCCAAGCAAAGAGCCCUUCAGUUUGUAACCCCGAAACUAAGCGAGCUACUCCAAGACAGCCUAUUAUAAUAGGGCGAACCCGUCUCUGUGGCAAAAGAGUGGGGAGAGCUUUGAGUAGAGGCGAGAAACCUACCGAGCCUAGUUAUAGCUGGUUGCCUGGGAAAUGGAUAGAAGUUCAGCCUCCCAAUUCUUUUACCCCGAACCCUCAAAAAACCGAAGGCAAAAAAGAAAUUGAGAGAGUUAGUCAAAAGAGGUGCAGCUCUUUUGACCAAGGAUACAACUUUUUCUAGAGGAUAAAGAUUAUAAUUUAAAACCCUAAUACUUAAGUAGGCCUGAGAGCAGCCACCCUUAAAGAAAGCGUUAUAGCUCAAGUAUUAGAUACCCUAAAAUAUUUUAAUAACUCAAUCUUACUCCCUUAAACACUACCAGGCCCUUCCAUGCACCCAUGGAAAAGAUUAUGCUAAUAUGAGUAAUAAGAGGGGCACGCCCCUCUCCCCACACAAGUGUAAUUCGGAACGGACCCACCACCGAAGUUUAACGAGCCCAAUCAAAGAGGGAAAUGAGGUAAUAACCGAAAACAAGAAAUCCUCUCAACAAAAACCGUUAACCCCACACUGGCGUGUUCAAAAGGAAAGACUAAAAGAAAGAGAAGGAAUUCGGCAAAAAUUUAAAGCCUCGCCUGUUUACCAAAAACAUCGCCUCUUGCAACUAACGUAUAAGAGGUCCCACCUGCCCUGUGACAAUUGUUUAACGGCCGCGGUAUUUUGACCGUGCGAAGGUAGCGUAAUCACCUGUCUUUUAAAUGGAGACCUGUAUGAAUGGCAAGACGAGGGCUUAACUGUCUCCUCUAUCCAGUCAAUGAAAUUGAUCUCCCCGUGAAGAAGCGGGGAUAAAAACAUAAGACGAGAAGACCCUAUGGAGCUUUAGAUAGCAGGACAGCCUAUAUCAAUAGGCCUUCUUUACCAGGUACAAAUAUAAUACGGACCUGCCCUGUGUCUUUGGUUGGGGCGACCGCGGAGAAGAAAAAAACCCCCGCGCGGAACAGGAAUAUAUUGUUCUUUCAACUAAGAGUCCCUGCUCUAAUUAACAGAAUUUUUGACCACAAGGAUCCGGCAAAGCCGAUCAACGAACCUAGUUACCCUAGGGAUAACAGCGCAAUCCCCUUUGAGAGACCAUAUCGACAAGGGGGUUUACGACCUCGAUGUUGGAUCGGGACAUCCUAAUGGUGCAGCCGCUAUUGAGGGUUCGUUUGUUCAACGAUUAAAGUCCUACGUGAUCUGAGUUCAGACCGGAGUAAUCCAGGUCAGUUUCUAUCUAUGACAUGCCCUUUUCUAGUACGCAGGGACCGAGAAGGAGGUGCCCCUACCAAAAGUACGCCCCACCUUAACCUAAUGGAAAACAACUAAAAUAGGUAUAGAAGGUGUAUAAACCCCGCCUGAUAUAACGGCAG